AUGCCAGGGUCGCAAGAAGAAGAAGAAGACAAAGAGGCAGCAGGAGGAGACGUGGAAGAAGAGGAAAGAUCCAGUAGGGAAGGACAGGAAGCUGCAGCGAUGGAGGUGCUGGUGCAGUGGCUGAAGGCCCGCCAGCCCGUCAUCCUGCUUGACUCGCUGCGCCUGUCUCCCUUCCUGCUCCGACACCACGGCAUCGCGUCCUCGGCUCCAGCCCCUGGGCCUCGGCGCCAACCGCUGGACCAAGAGGGACGUGGCCCAGUGGGAGCGGAACCAGGGACAGCAGACCUCGGCCCGCUCCCGACACGCACACGACUCGCUGGACUUAGGCAGGUCAGCUGUGGCCAAACACGGCAAGGAGCCCAUGUCCAGCUGGCUGGCACUGCCUAUCACGCCAGCGCGUGCGGAGCAGCUGAACAUCUCCUCCAUCCUGGCCGGCUUCUCCCCAGACACCUCCCUCAGCACACACAUGUGGAGCCGGCUCAAAGCGGCCCUCUCUGUCCACAAGAAGAAAACCGCAUUCAUUACUCCCCGGCGUCUUGCCCUGACCGGCAUUCAGUCUCCAGCAGUGCAGCGGUUGAAUGCCAGUCGGGAUAUUUUUGCCUCACCGUCCUGCACUUCUUUGCCUCACCUGGUCCAGAGCUCACCCAGCUCCUUUCUGGUGAGUCCUUCAUUCACAAGGCAAGUUCACUCGGGCCUGCGUUCACUGUUAGAUUUCAGAUUCUGUGA
rnacentral:lncRNA from 1 species